rnacentral:piRNA from 1 species
UCUUUCAGAGAGGGACAGAAAAGGAGAUU